rnacentral:rRNA from 1 species
GAACGCGAAGAACCUUACCUGGGUUUGACAUGCACAGGACGCUGGUAGAGAUAUCAGUUCCCUUGUGGCCUGUGUGCAGGUGGUGCAUGGCUGUCGUCAGCUCGUGUCGUGAGAUGUUGGGUUAAGUCCCGCAACGAGCGCAACCCUUGUCCUAUGUUGCCAGCGGGUUAUGCCGGGGACUCGUAGGAGACUGCCGGGGUCAACUCGGAGGAAGGUGGGGAUGACGUCAAGUCAUCAUGCCCCUUAUGUCCAGGGCUUCACACAUGCUACAAUGGCCGGUACAAAGGGCUGCGAUGCCGUGAGGUGGAGCGAAUCCUUGUAAAGCCGGUUCUCAGUUCGGAUCGGGGUUCUGCAAACUCGACCCCGUGAAGUCGGAGUCGCUAGUAAUCGCAGAUCAGCAACGCUGCGGUGAAUACGUUCCCGGGUCUUGUACACACC